GAGACAGCCAGGCUCCAGCACUGCUCUGAACUCGUUUGAUCCAGUUCGUCUCGCCAGGCGUUCCUCGAGAUACAUUCCUGUGGCUGGCUGGGUGCAGAGUGGGAGAGAGAGAGUGGUAAUGAGAGUGAGAGAGUGACAGCAUGGGAGACUGAGCAGUGGAAGACAAGAGAAGCGGUGGGAGGUGCGUCGUCGAGGUAAUAUCAACACGAGAAAAUAGGAAGUUAAAGCAGGAGACGAAUGGAGGCGCUGCUUCAAUUGUGACGGAGAGAAGGAAACACCAAGAGCACAAAAUUCCUCGCAUCUCCCCGAUAACCUGAACAGCCAACCAAAAAGAUGUCUACAUAGCUCCCUCUCUCCAGCCCGUCAUUCUGUUUCCAGGGCUACGGUUGGAAUCUCGCUACGCCUCAUGAGUUUGGGGCACAGGAUGGUGAAUACACGUCCUGGAUCUGAACGCCAAGGAUCAAUCUGAUGGAGUUAAUGAGAGACCCGAAAUAUGAACAAAAAACUGCUGUCUCUCUUUUCUGCUUUGCUCCCGUUAUCGGGUGACCACGGAUCAGCCUCCACGGAUGAGCCGCUAGCUGUUCAAGGUCAGGACCCGGGAUGACCACUCCUUAUGCGUCAGUCGGGCAAGUCUCUGCGCCCUGACGUGUCUACAAACCCCGUUUCCAUAUGAGUUGGGAAAUUGUGUUGGAUGUAAAUAUAAACGUAAUACAAUGAUUUGCAAAUCCUUUUCAACCCAUAUUCAGUUAAAUAUGCUACAAAUACAACAUAUUUGAUGUUCAAACUGAUGAACAUUUUUUUUGUGCAAAUAAUCAUUAACUUUAGAAUUUGAUGCCAGCAACACAAAGAAGUUGGGGAAAGGUGGCAAUAAAUACUGAUAAAGUUGAGGAAUGCUCAUAAAACACAUAUAUGGAACAUCUCACAGGUGUGCGGGCUAAUUGGGAACAGUUGGGUGCCAUAAUUGGGUAUAAAAGCAGCUUCCAUGAAAUGCUAAGUAAUUCACAAACAAGGAUGGAGUGAGGGUCACCACUUUGUAACAAAUUGUCGAACAGUUUUAGAACAACAUGUGUCAACGAGCUAUUGCAAGAAAUUUAGGGAUUUUACCAUCUAUAGUCCGUAAUAUCAUCAAAAAGUUCAGAGAAUCUGGAGAAAUCACUGAACGUAAGCGAUGAUGUUACAGACUUUUGACACCUCAGGCGGUACUGCAUCAUAAACCGACAUCAGUGUGUAAAGGAUAUCACCACACAGGCUCAGGAACACUUCAUAAAACCACUGUCAGUAACUACAAUUGGUCACUAUAUCUGUAAUUGCAAGUUAAAAUUCUACUAUGCAAAGCCAAACCCAUUUAUCAACAAUAUCUUGAAACUCCGCCGGCUUGGCUGGGCCCGAGCUCACUUAAGAUGGACUGAUGCAAAGUGGAAAGGUGUUCUGUGGUCUGAAGAGUCAAAUUAUAUUUGGAAACAGAGGAUGGGGUGUCCUCCAAAACAAAGUGGAAAAUAACCAUUCGGAUUGUUAUAGGCGCAAAGUUCAAAAGCCAGCAUCUGUGAUGGUUUGGAGGUGUAUUAGUGCCCAAGACAUGGGUAACUUACACAUCUGAGAAGGCACCAUUAAUGCUGAAUGGUCCAUACAGGUUUUGGAGCAACAUAUGUUGUCAUCCAAGCAACGUUAUCAUGGACACCCCUGCUUAUUUCAGCAAGACAAGUGUUACAACAGCGUGGCUUUGUAAAAAAAAGAGUGUGGUUACUUUCCUGGCCUGCCUGCGGUCCAGACCUGUCUCCCAUGGAAAAUGUGUGGCGCAUUAUGAAGCGUAAAAUACGACAGCGGAGACCCCGGACUGUUGAACGACUGAAGCUCUACAUAAAACAAGAAUGGGAAAGAAUUCCACAUUCAAAGCUUCAACAAUUAGUUUCCUCAGUUCCCAAAUGUUUAUUGAGUGUUGUUAAAAGAAAAGGUGAUGUAAAACAGUGGCGAACAUGUCAUUUCCCAACUACUUUGGCACAUGAAAUUCUAAGUUAAUUAUUAUUUGCAAAAAAAAAAUAAAGUUUAUGAAUUUCAACAGCAAAUAUUUUGUCUUUGUAGUGCAUUCAAUUGAAUAUGGGUUGAAAAGGAUUUUCAAAUCAUUGUAUUUCGUUUAUAUUUACAUCUAACACAAUUUCCCACCUCAUAUGGAAACGGGGUUUGUACAUUCAAGAUGAUCCCCUGCUGGCCCCACUAUGGACUGGACUCUCAUAUUAUUAACUGUAUCCACUCGACUUCGAUCACACACGGGGAGAUCCCCACAUCUCCAGUCCCUUCCAUGGUUUCUUGUUGUUCCCAUUGGGUUGAGUUUUUUCGUGCCCUGAUGUGGGAUCUGAGCAGAGGAUGUCGUCGUGGCUUGUGCAUUCCUUUGAGACAUUUGUGAUUAACUUAUGUAGAAGUUAUUUACUUAUAAGUAAAUAACUUUAAUAAAGGACUAGACCGGGGGUCAGCAACCCGGGACUCUCGGGCCGCAUGUAGCUCUUCAGCACCGCCCUGGUGGCUCCAUGGAGCAUUUUUAAAAAAGGAUUGAAAAUGGAAAAAGACGGGGUGAAAAUAUAUAUAUUUUUUGUUUUAGUAUGUUUUUUGUUUGAGGACAAACAUGACAGAAACAUUCCCAAUUGUGAGAAAGCCCACUGUUUAAUAUGUUUGUGUGUAUGCUUCACUGAUGAGAGUAUUUGGUGAACAUUGUUUUGUCCUACUAAUUUCGGUGGUUCUUGAGCUCACCAUAGUGUGGACUGUGACGCAACAGUUUCUUUACAUGUAAAAUCUUCCACUCCUUCUUUGUCUCAUUUUGUCCACCAAAAUGUGUGAAUGCACAAAGGAACCCUUUGUCCGUGUCAUUGACUUGUUGGACAGCUUAUAAGGCAUAUUGUGUCAGUGCAUGGCUGCAAGCUAAUCAAUGCUAACUUGCUAUUUAGGCUCGCUGUAUGUACAUAUUGCAUCAUUAUGCCUCAUUUGUAGGUAUAUUUGAGCUUAUUUAAUAUCCUUUACUUGUAUCCUCUUUGUAUAAAAUGUAUUUUGCAUGUCUCAUGACACGUGUAAUAAUGGCUGCAUUUCAGAUUGUUGUUUGUGUGCUAAGUUGUUCCAGACUACAGCAAACAUUACCUAGCUUGCCAAAGACUGUAAUAAAUAAAUUUAAAAAAGACAGCCUGUUGUGUCCUUUAACUUGGACACACACAUCUAUAUCGUUGGCCAUUGAAAGAAAGCCAGUAAUUUCCAGGAGUUAUCUCACCUUCUGAAUAGCCUCUGAUUUACUAAUGGUUUCUAAUGUUGUAAAAAUGUAUAGAAUAAAUAUUAAAUUUCAACAUUUCUAUCAACGAAGAUUAACUUCAGCCUGCGACACAGUCAUUUUGUAGUAAGCUAAUAUAGCUAAAGUAGACAUCAUGUGUUGCCUUCAUUAUAAGACUUAUAUAUGGCGUUUCAUUUUUGGCAGCUCCAGACAGAUUUUUUUUUCUGUAUUUUGGGUCCAAUAUGGCUCUUUCAACGUUUUGGGUUGCCGACCCCUGAACUAGACCUACCUUCAAUAGCAAAAAAAGGUCUGAUUUUACAAAACACACAUCAACUGAAGCCCAUCAACACCUACAGUAGCUCAAAAAACGUUCAUUGUUGCCUCUUGUUCAAUGUUCCUAUAGUCAGACAAUAUUUUUGGUAUAAUGGAUAGAAAUUUGUUCUGACAUGUUUCGACUGUCAUCUCCAGUCUUCUUCAGAGAGGUCACUUGUCCACUGUGACGUGUCGCCUAUUAGCUGUUCUUCAAGCAGGCAGACCUGCCAAGACUAUCUGGUUGGUUGGUGUGUGUUGGUUUUCUGUGAACAGUAACGUUUUGACUGCUUUUCUCUUUGCGGUGGAUGUUCAUGUCCAAAAAAGCUAUGAUCCGUUAAUUUCUUCUUAAUUUCCAUUCAUUUCAUCCAUUGUACCAAAAAUAUUGUCUGACAAGCGGUAAAAAAAAUGGACGGAUGGAGGGAUAGAAAAUUGAAAGGCCAUCAACACCUCUACGAUUAGAAUUUUACUGAUUAGGGCUGGUCUAUGAAAACUGAUUCACAAUGUAAGUUUUUAUGAUGCUCAAUUUUGAUCAUUAUUGAUAUUUUAUGACCUACAGUACAGGUCAAAAGUUUGGACGGACCUUCUCAUUCUUUAUUUUCAUGACUAUUUACGUUGUAGAUUGUCACGGAAGGCAUGAAAACUCUGUAUGAACAAAUUGUUAUAUUCCGGUGGUAACCCACAAGUUCUUCCCAGAACUUGCGAAUCAGGUCCAGCUCUCCGUUCACAGGGUCCCGUCCUCUCGGCGAGGUCAGUCUUACCAAGCUGCUCCACCGACAAGACUCUACUCAGCUGGAUGGCGAAGCAAUUUUCGCCUGGUUCUAACUACCCUCUAGUUCAGCGUCUGUCCCACUUACUAUUGUGGUCGACUCGGCUGAGAAGCCUAUCUCGUAAGGCCGAGUCAAACCUCAAACCCCGCUGUUUUCGAUAGCUUGCCUCGAAUGAAUCUUGGCUCUUGUUACUGACUAGGUUAAAUUUGAGGGCUGAGAAUGGAAUGGAGAGCCCUUCAGGACAUAUGUGUAAGUGGAUUGACUUAGAGCGACCUUUCAGGGAUUUGCAGUAUACACUGGAUUUCUAUCUUUUUACGUCAAGAACGUGAUGGUACGGUAAGGGAUAAAAUCUUGGUUAUUUUGUAAUGGUAUUUAUUGCAGGCCCAAUAGCCUAAGCGUUGCACAGCGUCAAUAAUCAUUCACAUAAAAUUGUAAAAAUGUAUAUAAAUUAAAAUCAAUGUAAUCUCUAAUUCAGUUUAAGUUGGAGUUCAGUUCGUUUCUUACUGUGCAAGGUUCUUUGGGGAAUGUCCGAAAAAGUCCGAAAAGUGUCUCUUUGUUUGAAAGAAGCAGGGUAGGUCACAGGAUCAGGGCAACCGCACCCAGGCUCUGGCUGCUCCACAGAAGAGGAAGCCCGGAGGACCAGCUUAGACCAAGAGCUGGUGCUUGAGUGGGCGACGCCCUUGAUGUGGCAUUAUGUACUUAACAAAAAAAGGUGAAAUAACUGAAAACAUAUUUUUUAUUCUAGUGUCUUCAAAAUAGCCACCCUUCGCUUUGAUUACUGCUUUGCACACUCUUGGCAUUCUCUCGAUGAGCUUCAAGAGGUAGUCAACUGAAAUGGUUUUCACUUCAAAAGGUGUCAUAGUUUUGAUGCCUUCUGCGACAAUCUACAAUGUAAAUAGUCAUGAAAAUAAAGAACACACAUUGAAAUGAAAAGGUGUCCAGACUUUUGGCCUGUACCUGUAUGUACAAAUACUUUUCUUCUCUAAAAUUUGGUGGGUGUGGCUUGAAUACCGAUGCGUUCCAUAGCCAGAAAUGUACAGUAUGCACAUGUGUAAAAAUGUUUUAUUUUUAUUUUUUUAAAGAAAAUACAAUCAUAAUAUAAUAUGAUGACAUCAUAUUGACACUGCCACAAGUAUAUUGGCAAUCCGUAGGAAACACUGAGCUGGGAUGGUGCUUUCCAUGACCUAGACAUAGUAGAACUUCAAAAUGUGAAAAUUGAUGAUCGGCACAGCUGUACUUUUAGCCACAGCACACUAUAUUUCAAUCAGUCAAUCAAAGUGUAGUUGUAUAGCCCUUAAUAACAAGUGGCUCAAAGGGCUUCACAAGCCACAAAAACAUCUCUUAUUCUGAAUCCACUUUUCAACAAGUGUCACUUAAAAAUCUACAACCACUUGUUGCCCUUUUUUCUCCAAAGUAACAUUUCCAUGAUUUUUUUCCCCAUUGAUGACAUUUUUGUCUUUUUAAAUAUUAACAAUUACAAGCCUCAAGCAUGGUACACACACACACAAACAAACACACACACACACACACAAACACAAGUCCCCACUCUACCAACUCAUUCAGCCAGUGAACAUACAGUAAUUACAGACUUGGUAUUGGAGUACCCCUGACCGAAUAGCAUGCAGUACUUUUAGGACAUAUCAACAUUCACAUACACCCAGAAAGUACCCUUUUUCAACAGCAUGAUGAUGUAUUUUCAUUGAUGUUCAAUCGUUCGUGUCUGAGAGUUAACAACAAUGCAAUAUUGGAUUCCUGGGCUUAUAUGGUCGGAUGUCAUUAUCCUCUUCUAAAGAAUUAAAUUUGUUGGAUUAUCUAAAAAAAAAAAUCAAGACCUCCCUGAAUGAUUUUUAUUCAAAUAGUUUGUCAGGGGAUUACAAUGUAAGCUGUUUUACUUAGUACACUGUUAGACAAACUCAAGGCCCGGAGGCCAGAUCUGGCCCACAACAUAAUUUUAUCUGGCCCGCAAACACCUGGAAAUGAUAUGUGUUAAUAAAGUACUUAAUAUUUUCUUACUAAAUUACAUUAGACUCAUUUUGACAGAAAAAAUAUAUGUACUGUUUAAAAUUGCAUACCUUUUAAACGAUAAUAGUAUCCAAUAUAUCCAAUAAUAUCUUAAAAAAAACUCAUUUGUAUACUCUCGCCUUUAAAUAAACCCCCCUUUUAGACCAAUUGAUCUGCAGUUUCUUUUCUUCUCCGUCCCCCCUCUCCUUCGCGGAGGGGGGGGGGG